rnacentral:rRNA from 1 species
UGAGGAACUUGCCCAUGAGCGGGGGACAACAUUCGGAAACGGAUGCUAAUACCCCAUAGGUGGAUUGGUCGCAUGGCGAAUUCAUUAAAGGUGGCUUUGCUACCACUCAUGGAUAGCCUCGCGGCGUAUUAGCUAGUUGGUAAGGUAAUGGCUUACCAAGGCAGUGAUACGUAGCCGACUUGAGAGGGUGAUCGGCCACACUGGGACUGAGACACGGCCCAG